UACAGAGGUGGCAAGCGUUGUUCGGAAUUACUGGGCGUAAAGGGCGCGUAGGUGGCCUUCUUAGUCAGACGUGAAAUCCCCGGGCUUAACCUGGGAACUGCAUUGGUGACUGGCAGGCUUUGAGUGUGGCAGAGGGAGGUAGAAUUCCACGUGUAGCAGUGAAAUGCGUAGAGAUGUGGAGGAAUACCGAUGGCGAAGGCAGCCCCCUGGGAUAACACUGACGCUCAUGCACGAAAGCGUGGGGAGCAAACAGG
rnacentral:rRNA from 1 species